rnacentral:rRNA from 1 species
UCUACAGGGCAUCGCCUAGUACGGCGAGUGAAGCGGGAAGAGCUCAAAUUUGUAAUCUGGCACUUUCAGUGUCCGAGUUGUAAUCUCGAGAAGUGUUUUCCGCGCCGGACCGCAUACAAGUCUGUUGGAAUACAGCGUCAUAGUGGUGAGAACCCCGUAACUGAUGCGGAUGCCCGGUGCUUUGUGAUACACUUUCGAAGAGUCGAGUUGUUUGGGAAUGCAGCUCAAAUUGGGUGGUAAAUUCCAUCUAAAGCUAAAUAUUGGCGAGAGACCGAUAGCGAACAAGUACCGUGAGGGAAAGAUGAAAAGCACUUUGGAAAGAGAGUUAACAGUACGUGAAAUUGUUGGAAGGGAAACGAUUGAAGUCAGACUUGUUAUCUGGAGUUCAGCCUUUCGGUGUACUCUCCAGUUUACAGGCCAGCAUCAGUUUUCGGGGCGGGAAAAUCGUAAUUAGAAGGUAGCAGCCUACCUGUGUUAUAGCUUUUUACUGGAUUCCGCUUUGGGGACUGACGAACGCAAUGUGCUUUUAUCAAUACCCUCGGGUAUUUCACACUUACGAUGCUGGUGGAAUGGCUUUAAACGACCAGUCUUGAACACGGACCA